GAAGUAUACAAAUUUUGUAACAAGUAAUACACACACACACACACAUUGAAGCUCUUGUCAAAAUUAAAAGUCCAAGUUGGAUUUUAUUUUAAUCAGCUUGAGAUUAUUUUUUUUUUAAAUGGAAACCGAGCUCUCGCUAUAAAUGCAUUAUUAAUCAUUAGUCAUGGCCUAAAAGAAGGGUCAAAGCCUAGUUGUUAAUGGCAUGCUUGAGGCACAAGACGCACCAGGCCCUAGAGCCAGUGCCUCUACCAAGGUAAGGUGGAGCAACAUCACAAAUCUGAGUGCUUUGUUGCCUUGGGUUCAAACCAGAGAUCAGGUAAAAGUCAUAGAGCUCAACAGCCUCCGCUAUCGUCUAGUUCCCUCAUGGGUAAACCCAGCACCACCAGACUCAGGACUUGCAAUCUGCUAGAAUCCAGUGUCAAUGCACCAGAAAGUCAGUGGAAACAUCAUUCCCAUCACUCGAAUCUGACUGGACAACUACCCUAGAAUCGCCUACCACUGAUACUCGUCUUCCUAUCAUUCACAAUGCUCAAUUCUCUCUCCUUCAACCUUAUUUUAGUUCCGCCUCUUCUUCUUUUCUUUUUCAUUUUAAUUUUUUAAACCGCAAUACUGAAAUAUCUAUUGAACUGCCCAAGAAUAGGCUCAGAGACCACAAUAGAUUCUUCCUGGAAAGUUCUUAAACCUUAAAUGCAAGGGCACCUGCUUACAAGCAACUUCCACCUUGUGCCUUUAAUAACAAUGGUAAGAGUUAGAACCAACCACAGGCCAGUUCUGGUCCGUGAAGGAAACGGUCCUAAGCCGAACCACGGGUGGCUGAUUCCAUACAGUUCCCAUUCCAGCUAGAUUCAGAUUAAGGCAAACUAACUAUUGAAAUUGUUUCCAAAUUUUUUCUUAAAGAAAAAAAAAAGUUUGAACAGACUGGAUAACUGGUUCACAGUUCAUCGAAGCGGGAUAAGUCCAACUAUCGUGAUGGCGGUUCCAAGGCAGUUCGGAACCAAGGACCAGUAAACAGUCCCAGGUAUGACCGGCCUGGUUCCGAUCACAACUCCAAACCGACCCUUGCUCAGGUCUAGUGUGAGCGUGUGCACGCAUUCAAGCAGAAUCUUUUCCACUCAAUAAAACAAUUCAAUUAAACUUGGGAUUUUUCAAGUCCCCUUAAAUAACUCAAAUACUUAUCACAUUGGAGCUAGGAAUUAUUGUAACCAAUAAAAAGUCAACUUAAAAAUAAUUUUCAUGUCCUUUUCCAUUCAAUAAAAGUUUAUGAGAUUCGUGCUUGUAUAAUGUAUGAUGCAUAAUGCUGCAAAAUAAAAGAUAAAAGAUAAAAAAAGAAAUCACAACUAAGAGAACACUAUUGUUGAUUUAACAGUCUCUGGGGAGGAUACAUCUAUUUUCUGCUGUGGGCAUUGCUUUAAGUGUACAAAACAAGAAAGAAACAAUUUCUUCUGUGUUUGAAUUGCAAAAACAUUUAAACGUGGUCAUGUUAUAGUUACAGUUACAGGUUCUAUGUGCAACGUGAGCACACGCACAACUUUUGAAAUUUUGACAAAACUGUAAUUUCUAUUUCAAAACUUGUCGACAAAAUUGUAUUAUUUGUCACUCAACUUAUGAUCAAGUUCAGGUCAUUCACUAAAGUUUGGUUUAUUCCAAACAGGUAACCCAACUUUUUAUUCAUUGACAAUGUAACACCUCAUGCCAGAUUUCCAUUUGUUUCAUAAGCAACAGUGAGUGAACAGAAAUCCAAUCUAGUAGAAUGAAUUCAUGCAUAGAUGACAUAUUGCUUUCUCGUGCAGUCUGUUUUCAGAUUUCACACAAAUUGACAUGAGUGAAAAGUUGAGUGAUGAAACUGAAACAAAUCGAGAUGAAGCAACAGAAUGAACUUGAGUAGUAACCUGAGUAACCCAAACUUUUCAAAUGACUCUUAAUUGGAAAUUCAGCUAUAAAACUACAGGAAACCUCAAGCCAUUUUAAGACUUAAAAGAGUGUCUUGCCGCCCAAAAAAAAAAAGGAGGAAGAAAA
rnacentral:misc_RNA from 1 species